rnacentral:rRNA from 1 species
UACAGAGGGGGCAAGCGUUAUUCGGAAUUACUGGGCGUAAAGGGCUCGUAGGUGGCUUGUCACGUCGGGUGUGAAAGACCGGGGCUUAACUCCGGUUCUGCAUUCGAUACGGGCUAGCUAGAGUGUGGUAGGGGAGAUCGGAAUUCCUGGUGUAGCGGUGAAAUGCGCAGAUAUCAGGAGGAACACCGGUGGCGAAGGCGGAUCUCUGGGCCAUUACUGACGCUGAGGAGCGAAAGCGUGGGGAGCGAACAGG